GGGCUCGCUUCGGCAGCACAUAUACUAAGUUGUAACCAUAUGGAGAUCAGCAUGGCCCCUGCUCAAGGAUGGCAUGCAAAUUCUUGAAGUGUUCCAUAUUUUA